rnacentral:rRNA from 1 species
UACGUAGGGUUCAAGCGUUAAUCGGAAUUACUGGGCGUAAAGCGUGCGCAGGCGGUUCUAUAAGACAGAUGUGAAAUCCCCGGGCUCAACCUGGGAACUGCAUUUGUGACUGUAGAGCUGGAGUACGGUAGAGGGGGAUGGAAUUCCGCGUGUAGCAGUGAAAUGCGUAGAUAUGCGGAGGAACACCGAUGGCGAAGGCAAUCCCCUGGACCUGUACUGACGCUCAUGCACGAAAGCGUGGGGAGCAAACAGG